rnacentral:rRNA from 1 species
CCUACGGGUGGCAGCAGUGGGGAAUAUUGCUCAAUGGGGGAAACCCUGAUGCAGCAACGCCGCGUGGAGGAUGAAGGUUUUCGGAUUGUAAACUCCUUUUGGUAGAGAAGAUAAUGACGGUAUCUAACGAAUAAGCACCGGCUAACUCCGUGCCAGCAGCCGCGGUAAUACGUAGGGUGCAAGCGUUACUCGGAAUCACUGGGCGUAAAGGGCGCGUAGGCGGGAUGGCAAGUCAGAUGUGAAACCCUAGGGCUUAACCAUAGAAAUGCAUUUGAAACUGUUAUUCUGGAGUUUGGGAGAGGCAGGCGGAAUUCUUGGUGUAGGGGUAAAAUCCGUAGAGAUCAAGAGGAAUACUGAUUGCGAAGGCGACCUGCUAGACUGUAACUGACGCUGAUGCGCGAAAGCGUGGGUAGCAAACAGGAUUAGAUACCCGAGUAGUC